rnacentral:rRNA from 1 species
AGAGUUUGAUCCUGGCUCAGGAUGAACGCUAGCGGCAGGCCUAAUACAUGCAAGGUGAACGGUAAGCGGGGUAGCAAUAUCACGCCUAGAGUACCGCAAGGGUGCGUAACACGUAUGCAAUCUGCCCUGUACAGGAGAAUAGCUCCCCGAAAGGGGAAUUAAUACUCCGUAAGAUCACACGAAGGCAUCUGAGAGUGAUUAAAACCACGGUGGUACAGGAUGAGCAUGCGGAUGAUUAGCUAGUUGGUAGUGUAACGGCCCACCAAGGCGACGAUCAGUAGCUGGUCUGAGAGGAUGAUCAGCCUCACUGGGACUGAGACACGGCCCAGACUCCUACCGGGAGGCAUCAGUGGGGGAAUAUUGGACCAUGGGCGCAAGCAUGAUCCAGCCAUGCCGGCGUGGGUGAUGAAGGCCCUAGGGGUGUAAAGCCCUUUCCGGCGGGGAACAAAAUGACGGGACCCCCCGAAGAAGCCCCGGGUAACUUGGUGGCAGCGAGCCGC